GAUGAACGCUGGCGGCGCGCUUAACACAUGCAAGUCGAACGAAGCACUUUGGAAUGAUUCUUCGGAUGAGUGAAGAAGUGACUUAGUGGCGGACGGGUGAGUAACGCGUGGAUAACCUGCCUUAUACUGGGGGACAACAGUUAGAAAUGACUGCUAAUACCGCAUAAGCGCACAGUACCGCAUGGUACGGUGUGAAAAACUCCGGUGGUAUAAGAUGGAUCCGCGUCUGAUUAGCUAGUUGGUGAGGUAACGGCUCACCAAGGCGACGAUCAGUAGCCGGCCUGAGAGGGUGAACGGCCACAUUGGGACUGAGACACGGCCCAGACUCCUACGGGAGGCAGCAGUGGGGAAUAUUGCACAAUGGGCGAAAGCCUGAUGCAGCGACGCCGCGUGAGCGAAGAAGUAUUUCGGUAUGUAAAGCUCUAUCAGCAAGGAAGAUAAUGACGGUACUUGACUAAGAAGCCCCGGCUAACUACGUGCCAGCAGCCGCAGUAA
rnacentral:rRNA from 1 species